AGCUCAGUGUGGAUGGUCAGAGCAUGAUGAAGCUCAUAUUUUAGCGAUGAAAACCACCCAAAUGGUUGUUCGCCAUAGACCGUGAAAACAUGUUGCUCCUUUCGACUAGCCGAACCCUACUUGCCGUGGUCAACUGCCUAAGUUUGGCAAAAUGAUUUAUUUGACCAAAAAAUACAUUGAUUUUAACGGGUGGGGACUACUUGCUCGCCUGCUUGGCUGUGCACCAAUGCUAGAGAAGCUGUGCACCAAUGCUAGAGAAGCUGAUGUUCAGAUCGGGUUUUGACGAUGAAAGCUAUGGUAUGUGGCAAAAUGGUAAUAGUAAAGAAGGAAUUCUUGAGUAUUAGAUAAUGGUUCUUAAUGUGGAACACAUGGGGUAUAUCUCGAGGAUUUAAAUGAGGUAUUAUUGUUUUUCCUAUUCUUUUAUGAUACACUUUUGAAUACA